CAUAGUUUUACUAUAAUAAAAAUAAGAAUCCCAACCUCUUGUUGUCCAUCCUAAGUUUUUACGCCAUAACAUCACUUUAUGACUUCAUUACAAAAGCUUUGAUCGUCAAUGACAUUUUUGGAGAUCACUUAUUCGGAGUAUAUAUUAUUUAAAUUGUGAGAUCUUCCUUUUUCAAAGAUAAUCUGUAAUAUUUAUGGUGUUAAAAAAAAAGAAAAAAUAAAUAAAAGAAGAAGAGAUAUUUUAAAGUAUUGGACCCUACCACUACCAUAUUAGUGGUCUAACGACCACAAUUGGUCUCUCAUCCCUCUCUCACCCAUAAGCUUCUCUCUCACUCUCUUAUUCUUCCUUCAAUUUUUCUUUUUCUUUUUGUUGUUAAACUUCAAGCUUUGAUUCCUUUCUCAAUACUUGGGAUUUUUGGAAACCGUUUGCGGCAAUUCAAAGAGCACGGCCAGAUCUUCACAUCCAUAUAAGUAAUUUCAGUUUUAGGGCACUCUAGGAAUUCCGAUUUUGAGACUCAUUUGGAGGUUUUUGGCUUAAUUUGAGGACUCGGGAAGGAAGUAGGAGACACAGACCCUUCACAAACUUAAGGAGGACUAGGAUUAUAUUUUUUGCUAUCUUUUGUAUAUUUGCUAAACUUUUGUAAAGUCUCAAAACCAUAGUGAAGUGUAUACAUUUUGCAAGCCAUGGUCAUGUUUUGUAAACUAUAACUCUUGUCGGUAUUUUGAGGGGAAGUGAGACUACGUAAAUAUUUUGUAUUGAAUGGAAUGAUGAUGAUGAUGGGCCGUCUUGAGGAGAUUGUUGAUAUGGUUGUUUUGGGAAUGUAUUAUAUAUAUAUUUUUUACAGGUUGAAUAAGUUUUGAAGGGGCAAGAAAGGCCAUUGCAUUUUUUAUUUUAUUUUUAUUUAAGCAGGUUGUUGUAGGCCCCUUUUUAACAGAUGUCAUGUUGAAUUUUUUUGAUAAUUGGUAUUCAGUUUAGGGUCGUGACAAAUUUGGUAUCAGAGCAAUGAAUCAAAUAACAUUAGGACGACGGGUAAAGGCCUCCUUGGGAUUGCAUGGGGAAGUUGAAUUGCAUGAUUAUGUGCUACGUGUUAAAGUGUUUAAAUGUUUUAGAAGCAUGCCUACUUGUUUACUUGCUUACAUGUUUAUUUGCUUACGUGAUCAUAUGCUUAUUUGUUUACAGUUUUGAGGGCAUACCUAAUUGCUAAAUGCUUACGUGUUUAAAUGCUAAAAUUUGUGUUACAUGGUUAUGUACGAGGAAUAGUUAGAUGAUCUUACUGUGUAAAUGAAAUGUGAAAGAAAAGAAAAGUGUGUUGAUUGUGUGAGGAAUAUGAUGACGAGAAGUGGUAAGCAUGGUUUGUGCAGUUCGAAUUUAAAUGCUAAUGUAACAAGUAAUGAGUAUGGUAUAUGCCAACGUGUUUCGUAUAGUAUUAUGGGUUCCAUUCAUUUUGUAUAUGCAUAUAGCUUUAUUCUUAUGUGGUUAUGCGGUUAAGCAUUGGGAUAGUUGCUAGUACGGUGGGGUACUUGUCACAGCAUUGAGGGUUGUGUAAGUUUUUACUUGAGUAGGCGAGGAACUUGGUCACUCCAAGGUUGUUUGGGUGCCGGUUCUUGUCGAACUAAUGGCAUGGGCUUCUAGCUCAUGGAUUCAGCUAUUUGGCAUGUAGUCAUCCUGAACUUCUUAGUUGCAUUUUGUGUGGUGCGUAGAGCACGACUUUAGAAUGGAUUCAUAUUUCAUGGUAAGGUGCCCUUAUUGUGUGUGAGUUUUAUGUAUUGGUGUAUGGUUCUGGUGACCGUGGAGGUUAAGUGUACGAGUGAGGGUUUCGGUAUGACUUUAAGAGGUCGGUGUUUGUAACUUAUGUUUUGGUUUGGUGUGGAGGUUCUCUUCAAACCAGUCGUGGUAGGUGUGACGAGGGUUGAUUGAGUCACAAAUGUAGUCUAUGGAUUGUAAAGGUGUAUCUCAAGCAUAUUGGAACGGCUUAAAGAAGUGUGUUGUUUUGAUUGUCAUAGGAACUUGUUGGAUUCUGUAGGUCUAUGGUGAUUUAGGACCGGUUAUCCGAUGUAGAUCAUUUUAUUGUCUUAAAGGAAUCUGUUUUGGAGACUGGUUUGUCAAGGAGUGAUUCUCAUUUAGGAUAGUUAUAGGAGUGUGUUAUGGGUGAUCGACUCUCGGUGAGUUGGUUGUAUGGCUCAGUCGAUGAGCGUGGUUUUGGGUUGGCAAGGCUGUCUAAAGGGUCUCGAGGUGAGGUAUAAUGGUCAGUUUUAGAUGUAUAGUGCAGGGUUGCACGAUAAAGCAGGUAGUAUAGGGUCCUUGGAGUGCUUGGUUGUUUAUGGAUGAAGUGAUAAUUGGUGAGUAUUGUGUUACCAAAUGAAUUAUGUUCUAGAAUUUAAAAGCUUUGGAUUUAGGUUGUAUUUCAUAUUGCAUUUGGCGUAUUAGGAGGUAGUGCUUGUUAUUUGAGGGUUCGAGGAGAUAGACUAAUGGUUGGAGUGAUUGGGAUGAGGUUGAUCUUGUAAGUUAGUUGGUAGCCCCAUUUGAUUUUUAUCAGGGCCAAUGAUGUUUUAAGGAACGGGAAUGAGGAAAAGUAACGAUGUUGAACUUAGGGAUGAAGUUUCCUUGUUUGGAUACGUAGAUCGAUUAGAAAGAGUGGUUUGAUGUUAUUGGUUAAGCAUUAAUGAUUGAUGUCAUCGUUGAUGGUAUUGAGGUGACAAUUGGGUGUUGAGUAUUUUGGGUUUUAUGCUCAUUUUUGUUUUAAGGAUUUAUCAGUAUUGAGGUUCUUUUCUAGUAGUAUGCAGUGAUCAUUAUGGGGAGUAUCGAGAGUAAUGGUUAUUUUCUUGCUAUGAUGGUGUUACCUUAAGCAUGAUGGGAGAAGGAUUGCUUGGUAGUGACUUGAUGGUCCGGUGGGAUGAUAGGUUUGAGCUAUCGAUUUGGAUGAGUGACAAUGAAGGUGUUAUGGUGCGAUGUUUAGUGAUGAAGAGUGGAACAAUUUGAGGUAUAGUCCAAAUGUGGUUUAGGAUUGUAAGUGUUAUUAUAUGUUGUCAGGUAAGUGAUGAGAUUGUGCACUAAUUGAGGAAAUUUUGGUUAGCCUAAUCUUUAAAACCAGAGAGCGAGGUCUUUCCAGGUAGGCAUCUUUUUCUUUUGAAGAGUCAGUGGGUUGUUGUGACCGAGGUCACGGAUCUUGUGUGCAGGGUGAUAGAGGCAGUGUCGCCUGGGUAGGUAGAAAUGACAUGGAUGGUAAAGUAUCAUUUUAUGGCGUAGAGGUUGUCGAUUGGGAGUGACUGAUUCUAGGCAGAAUGGGACACGCUGUCUGAAAGGUUGUGAUUUUUUUUAGUGUUGGUAUGUUGUGAGCAUUGGUGCUCUUAUCUGAUAGUUGUGUUGUGAGUUCUAUCUUAGUACUCAACGAAGGGGUGGUGUGGACCUGAUUGGUUUGGGUUAGCACGGGUGUUGCAGAGUGCCGUAUGCGAGGUUUUAUGUUGAUAGUGUGUGACGAUCCGUUAGUGGCAAGGUCGCCUAGAAUUGAGGUCGUAGUCCCGUAUGUGUUUCCAAUUGGUUCUCCUCCUAGUGAGUAGGAAGUUCAUUUCAUCUCAGGUGAGAUUGGGUAUCUAUGGUUGGACGACUGGUGAGUAGUGUGUGAUAGGGUGUCUGGUUCAUUCAGGUGCAAGUUAUUAGUCUUUUAUGAAAGCGGGGUCCGUUACCCUUUCCGUUUGUUCUGGUCUUGUGUCUUUUCCUCCAUCUGGAAGUUUUGUACACCCGCGGAUUGACGGACCAAUAUGUGGGUUGUUAUGCUGUUGGCGUUCAUUGGUAAAGGUUUGGUUGUAUGGGUUGACUCACUCCCACGAAGGGAUGUGUAGUCUUUGGUUUUUGUAAUGCCUGUUUUGAGAGUGGUUUUGACAACACGAGAUACCGAAUAGGAAUUGUGUUUCCGGUGUCUGGUACAACUGGUGAUGGCUAGGGAUGUGCCGUGAAUUGUAAAUUUAAGGAUGGUUAGGUAAUAUGAUAUGAAUCAUGUCUCGGGUGUUUCUAUAGAUGUUUGAUUUGACUAUUAUCUUAAGGACAAAUGUUAGUAUUGUUUGGGUGUUAUGCAGCUAGAAAGUGAUUAUGGGGUUUCAUUGAAGAAUAAUAGGAAUGGUUGACUAUGGUUUUAAGGUUUCAGGCAUGAGACGAUCGUAUUGAGUGUUCUGAAGAGGUAAGAAUUGAAUCGAAUGAUGAUAUAAAGUCGUUUACCUGGUAUGGGUGUUAUGAGGAGAUUAGAGAUCUUUUUUGCUAGUUGAUGUUUGUGACGUUUGGUGCUGUAUUGUUUCCAGCUUGUUAGUGGUUGUGUGAUUAAUGUGCGAUUGGGAUUUUUAGAGCUGGUAUGUAACUGUAUAGUUGUUGAGGUUUUGUAAAGCAAUUGAUUGUUUAGAGAGUGGAUUUCGUGGUUGCUUUGAGAACGAUGUGGGGUUGUGUUUGAGGUUUAGACCUGAUGACAGGAACGACAUCUGUGUUGAGAUUGGAUCGAUGAUAAGAAUAGCCUGGCCAACCAUUUCUCCUGAGUCAGUCUAUCUUUAGCACGAUGUCAGGUUAAAGGUCAAUGAUUGUUCUGACUUGUUAGUGACUAUGAGAGCAUAGUUUUACGCGUUGUGUCGGUGUGGCAGUGUGGAUUUGGAUGAUUUGUCUCGGGUGACGAGGUGUGUUAUGGAGGAUCAAGUGUCCGAUAAAGGGGUUGUGAUACAACCAUUGACUAUUGAAGAUUGUGUUUUGAGGAUUUGUGACCUAGGUAUAGGAUAAUACGUUUUAUUAUUUUGGUGACUCAUGAUUAUGUAAUCGUUAGGAAAUUCAUUGUUUAAUCAUCUUGAGGUUGUUGAGUGUAAUGAUUACCGAAUGUUGCCGUUGGUGGUCGCUUGUAUUGAUAUGUGAUGGUAUAGUUAAGUAUUGGAUAGUGAGUGUUUGGUCUGACAAGGAUGUAUAGGAUAGAGUUAAACUUGAUUGAGAGAUGAACGAGGUUUUUUGUCUAAAGUCUAGUGUUUCCAUUGAGGAUGAAUUGGGUUUGGAUGUUGUCUUAUUCGGUGGUCUGAUGACUGUUCUUUUCUUGGGCUUUGGAGCCUUAUGUGACUGUGUAGAGUAAACUGAUGUUCCAUUUUGAGUUAGGCGUGAGGUCUAAUUAAUCUUGUGUUAUGACGAAGGGAGAGAUGGGUGACCACAUUGGGUUUUGGUGGCAGCGGUGUGCGAUUUCCUGGUGACAUCCGGUGUCAAGGGCAAUAAUGUUGGCGAGUUCAUGGCUUUGGGGUUUUAUGAGGUAUUCUCGGAAAAAGGUAUGUGGCUAUGGGCCUUUUUCAUAAGAAGGGUAGAUUUCGAGGACAAGAUCAUUUUAAGGAGGAUAGAUUGUAAGAUUUGUGGUGUAAAAGGAAAGAGAGAAAAAAAAAAAAGAAAAAAAAAAGAAAGAAAGAGAUAUUUUAAAGUAGUGGACCCCACCA